AACCCAAAUUAACAGAGUAACGGCGUAAAGCGUGUUUAAGUUAAAUAUAAAAUAAAGUUAAUGCCUAGCUAAACUGUAAUACGUAAUAGCUAAUGCUAAAAUAAACAAUUAAAAUGACUUUAAUAUAACUGAUAAUACGACAACUAAGAUACAAACUGGGAUUAGAUACCCCACUAUGCUUAGCCUUAAACCUAAAUAGUUUACACAACAAAACUAUUCGCCAGAGAACUACUAGCAACUGCUUAAAACUCAAAGGACUUGGCGGUGCCCUAAACCCAUCUAGAGGAGCCUGUUCUAUAAUCGAUAAUCCCCGAUAUACCCAACCCUUUUUUGCCAUUA
rnacentral:rRNA from 1 species